rnacentral:tRNA from 1 species
GGAGAGGUGCCCGAGAGGCUGAAGGGGCUCGCCUGCUAAGCGAGUGUGGACUAACCCUCUACCGUGGGUUCGAAUCCCACCCUCUCCGCCA